rnacentral:tRNA from 1 species
GGCAUGGGUCUGGUGGCCCAACUGGCCUUCAAAGCCAGGAGAGCGAUGAAAUCCACCGCUCGGAAGGUUCGAUUCCUUCGCCG